CUCUCUGUGUUGUUCAUGUGAUUACCGUAAUCAUAGUAAUACACGCGCACUAUAAUUUCAAUCGCGGCUGGCUUGACCGUGUUUUUCUGAACUGCGGCUGGCUUGACCGCGGUGUUACUUCCAUGUGGAGACUCCUGGUUUCCUUCCUUUCACUUCAAGCGGGAGCUGCGUCGCUAACACUUAUGGAUCAGAAGCUGCAUUCGUUUUCUGAGGGGAAAACUGGUGCGUCUGGUUUUGGUUCAGAUAAAGUAUCAGUGUGUGUGAAGGAGGGAGAUCCAGUCACUCUACACACUGGAGUUAAAACAAACCAACAAGAAGCUAUUCAAUGGUAUUUCAAGAGCACUCGCAUCGCACAAAUCAGUGGAGAUCUCAGUUUUAUCUGUACAGAUGUUCAGUGUAAUGAAGGUACUGAGAGAUUCAAGCACAGACUGAAGCUGGAUCAUCAGACUGGAUCUCUGACCAUCAUGAACAUCAGAACCACAGACUCUGGGGAAUAUAUACUGGAAAUCAUAAACAGCAAAUACAGUGAAAAGAUCUUCAGUGUUUCUGUCACUGAUUCAUGUCCGUCUUCAGGUGAUGUAGCAGAAAUAGUUGUUUUUUUUCUACUGGAGGCUGCUGCUGCUGUAGCAGGAAUAAUUAUUGUUAUGUUUCUGCUGCUGGUGGCUGCUGCUGUUGUGGUUUACUGUCGCCACAGGAGCCGUACAGCAGUACCACCGAAUGUGAGUAUUACAUACAGCUGAUUUAACAAAAUAUAUAUCAGAUUUACUGUGCAAAAAAAUAUUACAGGAACAGUGGUAUAGCCGCUUUCGAUAUGGCACCGGUACUUAUGUAACCGGUAUGUACUAGAACCGAAUGAGAAUGGAGAUUUUGGUGCCUCAUUUUGGUGCCAUGCCUGAGCGAUCGAUUUAAAUAUUUGUCCUUUGUUUCUCCAAAACGAACGUAAGAAGCAUCAUCACCGGCACCGCACAUGAAAAAUAAUUUCCUGACUGAGAAAAUGCACGUGAACUCAAGUCGGAAAUCUCUAAUAAUACAAGUCCAACAAAUCUUUGUAGUAAUGCGAGAGUGCUGUUUUCACAUUCCGACUUAAAAGCACAACUCGGGAAAUGAGAGAUCUGAGGAACGCGUGAAUGCAGAAAUUACACUUGCUCUGAUGGCAGCAGGUAGCCCUCCAUUAACUAGCUAAGAUAAACAUGCUUAAAUUAAAAUGCCUAAAGCUAAAAUUCUCUUGUAUUAACGUUUUUAAACCUGUUGUCCAACAAAAGAGAACAUUAUAACCUUUUUAGUCCACAAAACCAGUUAAAUGCUUCCUUUUGUGAUCUGAUGUAGCUUCUUGACACAGAAUGAGGCAGAAAAUGUUCCAUAGGCUACUAAUACAUCGAUUAGCAAUGGAUUAUAUACAGUGGCGUUCCGUCCAUAUAAGCAUAAAGAAUAACAAAAACCUGAUACAGUGUAGCUCUUCUGAUUGGCCGAACUUCUCAGACCUCUGAAGAGUGCUCGCCGUUGCCUCUACAGAUGCACAAAUCACUUUUGCUCCAUUUGUCUCACAGAUAUGUGGUGCAAAAGGGAGAGUGCGCGAAAAAAAGUGAAAAACAGCAUCUGAGACUCGUAGCAGCAGAUUCAAGCCGUUAUCUUUAUGUACUUGUGUUUGCGCUAGAAAAAGCAUCCAAGAAAAAAAUAUAUAUAUGUAAGAAAACAUUCUACAAGUGUGCAAAUCUCAUUGCAAGUAUUCACAUACUGGUUUGCGGAUGUACAAAAUUCGUCCACGACUUCACAUUUUUGAUGCAGGUGUGUGAGUGUGUUUUGCACCAUAUUCACUGCAGCAAUAGUAGCAAAACAUGUGAGCGUACGAGUUUCUUGAUUUGUGAUUCGUAGAAUAGGAUUUGUGUAUCUGCAAUGAAGGAUUCGAGAAGGUGUAACUGUUGUGUUGUGUUUGUGGGAGAGAGAAACAAAUCUACAAGUUUGCAACUUUUGUCUGUGGCCUCAAAUUUACUGAUACACGUGUGACUCUUCUCUACAACUACAAAUCCCGCUGUCACAGACACUCAGUUGUUUUGCACCAAAUUUACCUUCAUGGGGGGGUUGGGGGUCCUUAAUCUUAGCACUCAGCAUACCCGGUUAAAAAAGUCACCGCUCGCCACGGAUAUAUACUUAAUUAUUAGGAAAAUACCAGAGAUGGCUUGAAUAACACAGAUAAACUAUAAAUUGUCGUAGUCGAGUGUUUAUUGUAUUUGUUUUAUCAUUCAAAACGUUUAUAUCUUGUUUACUCCGUUACAUCCAUAUCAAUGCAUUUGUCCAUAUUGGGGAUUUCCUGGAGCUUCAUGAGUUCUGCUACUUCUGUGACUGGAUAUGUGGAUUUUUUGUGCGAGGGCUCCCUCUGGCAUCCAGUAUGAAUGAAAAAGACAUCAUGUGUUUAGUUCUAAUGGCCAAUCCAAAUAUUAAUUGGUAAUUUUUAUUUCUUUUUUAUUAUUUUUAAGUAUCGGUUUAGGCACCGGUACCGUUUUAAAAGUAUUGAUUUGGCACCGGUAUCGAAAAAAUCCCAAACGAUACCCAACCCUAGUGGUAUGAAUACUUUUUUAUAUUAAUAUUAUUAUAUAACUCUAACACAACAUCUGAAAACACAAAUAACUCCCAAAUAAACUAAAUAACAAUUAAUAUAACAACACACAGAACAGUUUCUUCCCUCAGGCAAUCCAUCUCAUGAACACUGGACAUUAAACGUGGAGCACACAACUCUAUUAUACAUUAUUUAUUCACCUCACAUACUUAUUUUUUCAUUUAAAAUUUGCACAUAUCAGACCUGUACACACAUAAUUGUCUAUAUUAUAUAUUGUGUUUUGCUGUUUUGUACAUUGCCUAUUUAUAUAUUAUUCUUUUAUUAUCUGUGUCCUGUCCUGUUGCUGUCUUUCUGUUGCACUGUAGAGCUUCUGUCACUAUAACAAAUUCCUCGUAUGUGUAAACGUACCUGGCCAAUAAAGCUCAUUCUGAUUCUGAUUCUGAUUUUCAUUCUGAUUCAAAGUGCAACCUUUGUCGCAGGGCAGUUGUCUUGUUAGAAGAAUCAAGAAUUCUAGAUGUGAUAUUGAAAUAAAACAAUACUUCAAGUUUAUACUAAAGUAGAUGACCAUCUGAUGCGGUUUAAGACAUUGUGUUAAAUUAUCAGGGAAUGAAAGCCUUUCAAUUCCACGUCUCUAGUAAACUCAAAAAAAGAAACCUCAUUCCACUUUCAACUGCUUUUUCUUGCACAUUUCUUUUUAUGUGUAAUUAUUUGUAUGAACAUAAAGAUUCAACAACUAGGUGUCUUACAUUACAGACACUGCAGUUUAUUGCUCUGUUCACAUCUGCAGUCCUCAUGCCUCCGGCAGCAGGUCUAUGUUAUCUUCACACAGCUGAUCAGAGACCCAGAGCAUCUUUACACUGCUGUUUUUCAGUCAAUAGAAAGGAGGAUGAUGAUAACACCACCUGAUCCUAAUAACAUUCGUGUGAGGUAGAUGGGAUGUCUUUAAACUCUGUUUACUCACAAAGUGAUCCAAAGAUUUCAGUAUUCGGUAGGGCUGAAACGAUUAGUCGACAUUAUCGACAACGUCGACAAUAAAAAAUGGUCGACAAAUAUUUUUGUUGUCGAGUAAUCGUUUGAUCUCACAUGACCUAAUGCAAGAGCCUGCAAUACUGCGGUUUGACCAGUGUGGCGCUGUAGCGCAAGACUGUAAUUCAGCUCUCCUGGAUGCAAUUCAAGAGAAGAAGACACACCCGAACCUGAGCGGCGUUUGAUGAAUAUGUCUGCAAGACUGAGGAGCAAACAUACUUAGUGUAGAUAGCAUAAAAAGCCUCCCUUUCUAAAGAUGCAGAAGAUCCCGACUACAACUACGAUCAACAAAGAUCCAGCAGCAGCAGAAAUCAGUACUAUCAGAGACACUGAGACACUAUCAUGUGUAGAAACUACGUCUGGAGGAGCUGAAGGAGAGUAAAAGAGAGACAGUCAUUAAUAGAAGUGAAUGUGUCAGUCUGAACGAGACGAGACAGAGUUCAGCUAAUAUCACUAAUCACUGCUGUACCUGUGCACGAGUAACAGAGUUGACUGAUGUCCAGAUGUGUGGUCUGGUUGCUGAUGGGGUUGUUGAGCACACAGCUGUAGGUGUUGUUAUCCUGAUAUUCCACCUCCAGAGGUAGAGAGAGACUGAUGCUGAGAUCAGACACACUGAUGCUGGACAAUAAACUGUGUCCUUUGUACCAGGAGAGAGUCACAUGACCCACAUUCACCACUGAACACAACAAUGAACAAUUCUGCUGUGAUGAUGAAGAUGAUGAUGAUGAACAUUGUAAAGAUGACAAUAAGUAAUUGCUGAUGACAGGAACAGACAGACGAGCUGAGAAAACAUCAGAGAAUAAAAAGGAAUAUGAACACAGUAAUUAGCUUAUUUUCAGUUUUGUGAAUUGUAAUGAAUUGGUGUAAUUAAUGUUUAGUGUGUUGAUGGUCGCUGAAUGUCAUCUCAAACUAUAAUAUGUAAACAGAAUAAGUGAAUGUUUGGACAAAACAUCAGAGAAUAAAAAGGAAUAUGAACACAGUAAUUAGCUUAUUUUCAGUUUUGUGAAUUGUAAUGAAUUGGUGUAAUUAAUGUUUAGUGUGUUGAUGGUCGCUGAAUGUCAUCUCAAACUAUAAUAUGUAAACAGAAUAAGUGAAUGUUUGGACAAAUGAUGUCUCUACUCACCAUAGACAGAAACUGAAUGUUUUUAUUCUGUGAUUUCUUCCACUUAUCUCUAGUUCAUAAACUCCAGCGUGUUCAGUUGUGAUGUUUGUGAUGGUCAGAGAUCUAGUUUGAUUGUCCAGCUUCAGUCUGUCUCUGAAUCUCUCAUCAGUAUCAUUAUAUGUGAUGAAGAUUUGGUUCUUUUUUU